rnacentral:lncRNA from 8 species
CUGUAGAAAUAGGCAGAGUUGAGGCAGAGUUCAUCAGUGACACAUGGAAUAAGAAGGGUGUUUCUAUUACUGGACAUUUCUGUUGUACUGUAUUAUUAUUAAUCACCUCGUUGUGGAUGUGUUGAGUGCCAGGUCUAUGAUAUCUCAUGCAUCUGUGAACACAUACACACAGUCACUGUUGUAUUACCAAUGGCAGUUUGGGAUAGGUGAUAUGACACACAAACAUAUACUGUGUUGAAGUUUGAACAGGUCAGACUAAACCUACCUAAUUCUGUUCUCCCUAUCGACGUCCGUUGGUGAGCAGGCAAGAGGUAAGGCUGGAAGUCUUUGCCAGAGCCCCAUUGAUGGGCAUAGCAGUGUAAAUCAGCUCUUGGCCCCUCAUCAAAGAUUCUGGUCGGUCGGUCGGUCGGUUGGUCGGUCGCAGACAGACAGACAGAUCUCUUUAGCAUCUAUAGACACCGGACAGACAGUCCUGUCUCACCCUCAGUCAGUCAUCCCAAUGAGCUGCUCUUUGCGACAUCUCCAACAGCAACAAAACUUUGCAGGACACACCCCGAGGGAGAUUUGAUCUCUCACACAGAAAAAAAGAGAUGUAUGCUGCAGGUAGCCACAGUUUUACAACAUGGCAACAUCCCCUUACUUUGCAAACUAAGACACACAAAUUAACGCCCACACUCACACACACACGCAGGAGCACACACACGCAGGAGCACACACAAGCAUGAACGCUCACACCCACAAAACCCCACACCCACAAAACCCCACACGUAGCAGUGGGACUGGAGGAUCAUAGUGGUGUUUGGUCAGUUCAGACUUCUGAUUGGUCAACAUCGUUGUGACUGACCUAAAAGCCAGGGAUCUGAUUGCCCUUCCUUUUAUUUAGUUGGCUUUUCAUUUGACAUACAGCGAUAAAAGGGUUGUGCAAAGCCCACCCCCCUGCUGACCCAUCCCCGACCCUAUAGGCCAACUGAGAUAUCAGUCAGAGACAGCACUAA